GGAUAAGCGGGAGAAAUUCCGUCUAAUACCGCGUAAUACUCCCGAAAGGCAUCUCCUGGGGUUUAAAGGGUAACACCGGCUACGGAUGGCCAUGCGGCGCAUUAGCUAGUUGGCGGGGUAACGGCCCACCAAGGCGACGAUGCGUAGGGGUUCUGAGAGGAAGGUCCCCCACACUGGUACUGAGACACGGACCAGACUCCUACGGGAGGCAGCAGUGAGGAAUAUUGGUCAAUGGGCGCGAGCCUGAACCAGCCAAGUCGCGUGAGGGAAGACGGUCCUAUGGAUUGUAAACCUCUUUUGUCGGGGAGCAAAAGACGCCACGCGUGGCGUUCCGAGAGUACCCGAAGAAAAAGCAUCGGCUAACUCCGUGCCAGCAGCCACGGUAAUACGGAGGAUGCGAGCGUUAUCCGGAUUUAUUGGGUUUAAAGGGUGCGCAGGCGGAAGAUCAAGUCAGCGGUAAAAUUGAGAGGCUCAACCUCUUCGAGCCGUUGAAACUGGUUUUCUUGAGUGAGCGAGAAGUAUGCGGAAUGCGUGGUGUAGCGGUGAAAUGCAUAGAUAUCACGCAGAACUCCGAUUGCGAAGGCAGCAUACCGGCGCUCAACUGACGCUCAUGCACGAAAGUGUGGGUAUCGAACAGGAUUAGAUACCCUGGUAGUCCACACAGUAAACG
rnacentral:rRNA from 1 species